rnacentral:rRNA from 1 species
UACGUAGGGUGCAAGCGUUGUCCGGAAUCAUUGGGCGUAAAGCGCGCGUAGGUGGCUUCGUAAGUCCGUUGUGAAAGUCAAAGGCUCAACCUUUGAAUGCCGAUGGAUACUGCGAAGCUAGAGUACGGAAGAGGCGAGUGGAAUUCCUGGUGUAGCGGUGGAAUGCGCAGAUAUCAGGAGGAACACCAAUAGCGAAGGCAGCUCGCUGGGACGUUACUGACACUAAGGCGCGAAAGCGUGGGGAGCGAACGAGG